GUGUCAAGGGGCCCAAAACUGAUCACAGUUCUAGAGGUGCAGCCUUGCCAGUGCCAAGAACAGGAGAGAAGUUUAAGUCUGUACAACUCAGAAACGACAUGGCUUGAUGAAGGUUCCCAAGGUGCCCAGCUAACUCUCUGUAAUCUCCAUCCAGAAAGAAGUUCUCAGCCCUGAGUGGAAGUGACCACUUGGUCCUGGCUUUGCAGUAGGUCAGAAGACCUGAGCUCAACCGAGGACUUUUGUGACUGCAAAUAAAACUUGCAUAAGGUACAAGAGAGAAACCUGCUGUAAAGAGGGAGCGCACAGAGUACCAGCAGCUUGCAGUAGUGGCUACAAUCGUGCAUUCUGGACACAAACACGCCCCGUGCACAGGGGCCCGUUGCAGCCCGCUCCCGUGUACCGGCCAAGCAGCCGCAGUCCCGCUGAGAAGCGUGUCCGAGCUGCUCGGCCCGGGCGCUGAGUGCACCCACAGCCGCACGCCGUGCCGCGGAAAUACAGGCGGCCCGACCGCCGCGCCCGCUCCCGCCCUCCAUGGCGCGGCGUGCCGGCACACCAGGCCCGGCGGCCCACGCGUGAGGUGACCGGGCGACACGAGCCCGCUCCUCCCGGCGGCGUGACGGCCCCGCGAGGCCGGCGGUGGGGCCGAUGCCGCUCGCGCCCCCUCCCGCCCCCGGGGCCGGGCCGCAGCACGUACCUGGCGCCCGUCGCUGGCGGGGCGGGGCGGGGCAGGCGCGGCGCAGACAGCGGGAGGUGCGCGAAGCAGCGCCGCGCACAGCGCCCGCCCCUCACCGCCCCUCACCGCCAUAGCGCAGCGCUGACGGAACCUGCGCUCCGACACGUCACACCGCGGGGGGAAAGUCGGAAGUGGAGGUCUUGGAGAUGGUCUUGCCAACAAAAUCCAGGAUUGAAACUUGCCAACUCGAAUGACAGCGCAGAAGAAAAAAAGAAAACCUGA
ensembl:lncRNA